rnacentral:rRNA from 1 species
CAAUAGCGUAUAUUUAAGUUGUUGCAGUUAAAAAGCUCGUAGUCGGAUUUUGGCUGAGAACGAACGGUCCGCCGUUAGGUGUGCACUGUUUGGUCUCAGCUUCCUGGUGAGGAGGUGUGCUUCACGGCCACUUAGUCACCGUGGUUACUUUGAAAAAAUUAGAGUGUUCAAAGCGGGCUUACGCUUGAAUAUAUUAGCAUGGAAUAACACCAUAGGACUCCUGUCCUAUUUCGUUGGUCUCGGGACGGGAGUAAUGAUUAAGAGGAACAGUUGGGGGCAUUCGUAUUCCGUUGUCAGAGGUGAAAUUCUUGGAUUUACGGAAGACGAACUACUGCGAAAGCAUUUACCAAGGAUGUUUUCAUUAA